rnacentral:rRNA from 1 species
GACGAACGCUGGCGGCGUGCCUAAUACAUGCAAGUCGAGCGGAAUGAUGAAGAAGCUUGCUUCUUCUGAUUUUAGCGGCGGACGGGUGAGUAACACGUGGGCAACCUACCUUGUAGAUUGGGAUAACUCCGGGGAAACCGGGGCUAAUACCGAAUAAUCCAUUUCGCUUCAUGGCGAAAUGUUAAAAGAACGGCGAUCUCGCUGUCACUACGAGAUGGGCCCGCGGCGCAUAGCUAGUUGGUAGGGUAACGGCCUACCAAGGCGACGAUGCGUAGCCGACCUGAGAGGGUGAUCGGCCACACUGGGACUGAGACACGGCCCAGACUCCUACGGGAGGCAGCAGUAGGGAAUCUUCCACAAUGGACGAAAGUCUGAUGGAGCAACGCCGCGUGAGUGAAGAAGGUUUUCGGAUCGUAAAACUCUGUUGUAAGGGAAGAACACGUACGAGAGUAACUGCUCGUACUU